UACGAAGGGGGCUAGCGUUGCUCGGAAUCACUGGGCGUAAAGGGUGUCGUAGGCGGGUCUUUAAGUCAGGGUGAAUCCUGGAGCUCAACUCCAGAACUGCCUUCGAUACUGGCGAUCUCGAGUUCGGGAGAGGUGAGUGGAACUGCGAGUGUAGAGGUGAAAUUCGUAGAUAUUCGCAAGAACACCAGUGGCGAAGGCGGCUCACUGGCCCGAUACUGACGCUGAGGUGACGAAAGCGUGGGGAGCAAACAGG
rnacentral:rRNA from 1 species